AUUGAACGCUGGCGGCAUGCUUUACACAUGCAAGUCGAACGGCAGCACGGGGGCAACCCUGGUGGCGAGUGGCGAACGGGUGAGUAAUACAUCGGAACGUGUCUUAAAGUGGGGGAUAACGCAUCGAAAGAUGUGCUAAUACCGCAUAAUCUCUAAGGAGGAAAGCAGGGGAUCGAAAGACCUUGUGCUUUUAGAGCGGCCGAUGCCUGAUUAGCUAGUUGGUAAGGUAAAGGCUUACCAAGGCAACGAUCAGUAGCUGGUCUGAGAGGACGACCAGCCACACUGGGACUGAGACACGGCCCAGACUCCUACGGGAGGCAGCAGUGGGGAAUUUUGGACAAUGGGCGCAAGCCUGAUCCAGCCAUGCCGCGUGAGUGAAGAAGGCCUUCGGGUUGUAAAGCUCUUUCGGUCGGGAAGAAAUAGUUAUGGCUAAUAUCCAUAAUGAAUGACGGUACCGACAUAAGAAGCACCGGCUAACUACGUGCCAGCCGCCGCAGUAA
rnacentral:rRNA from 1 species